AGAGUUUGAUCCUGGCUCAGGAUGAAUGCUGGCGGCGUGCCUAAUACAUGCAAGUCGAGCGGCAGCGCGAGUAGUUUACUACUUGGCGGCGAGCGGCGGACGGCUGAGUAACGCGUGGGAACGUGCCCCAAAGUGAGGGAUAAGCCCGAGAAAUCGGGUCUAAUACCGCAUAUGGUCUUCGGAUUAAAGCUUCGGCGCUUUGGGAGCGGCCCGCGUACGAUUAGAUUGUUGGUGAGGUAAUGGCUCACCAAGUCGACGAUCGUUAGCUGGUCUGAGAGGAUGAUCAGCCAGACUGGAACUGAGACACGGUCCAGACUCCUACGGGAGGCAGCAGUAAGGAAUCUUCCACAAUGGGGGCAACCCUGAUGGAGCAACGCCGCGUGCAGGAUGAAGGCCCUCGGGUCGUAAACUGCUUUUAUGAGUGAAGAAUAUGACGGUAACUCAUGAAUAAGCACCGGCUAACUACGUGCCAGCAGCCGCGGUCAUACGUAGGGUGCAAGCAUUAUCCGGAGUGACUGGGCGUAAAGAGUUGCGUAGGCGGUUAGUAAAGCGAAUAGUGAAACCUGGUGGCUCAACCAUACAGACUAUUAUUCGAACUCACUAACUCGAGAGUGGUAGAGGUAACUGGAAUUUCUUGUGUAGGAGUGAAAUCCGUAGAUAUAAGAAGGAACACCAAUGGCGUAGGCAGGUUACUGGACCAUUUCUGACGCUAAGGCACGAAAGCGUGGGGAGCGAACGGGAUUAGAUACCCCGGUAGUCCACGCCGUAAACGAUGGAUACUAGCUGUCGGGGGUAUCGACCCCCUCGGUAGCGAAGCUAACGCGUUAAGUAUCCCGCCUGUGGAGUACGGUCGCAAGACUAAAACAUAAAGGAAUUGACGGGGAUCAGCACAAGCGGUGGAUCGUGUUCUUUAAUUCGAUGCUAAACGAAGAACCUUACCAGGGCUUGACAUCCAGGGAAGCACUGCGAAAGCAGCGUGUGCCUUUUGGAACCCUGUGACAGGUGUUGCAUGGCCGUCGUCAGCUCGUGUCGUGAGAUGUUUGGUUAAGU
rnacentral:rRNA from 1 species